AGAGUAGGGGUAUAUUCUAUUAGUAAUAAUGUUAAAAGUAAAGUAAUUUGAUUUAUAUGUUAGGUAUGUUUUUUUAUCUCUGGUGAGCUUCGAUUGGGUGAUUUUUGGGAAUGGAAAAUUGCUUGACUUGAUAGAAAGAAAGAACGAAAGAUGGUUGAAUCAGAUCUUCCUCUUGCCAUGAACUUGGUCUACCUUACUAUCUUAUUGGCUUGUUCUUGUGUUGUUGUGAGCAAGUUCAUAGCUUCCAAGUUUCCAGGAUCAGCCCAUGUGCUUGAAAGAACUGGUUCCUUCUUUGCUCUAACAAGUUUCUUCAUGGCCAUAACAAUUCCUUUUAGUUUUCCCCUCAAAUUAUUUUCUUGGAUGCUCUAUGUUGUUUGCUUACUUGUCAUUGUACGUUUCAGUUGAUUCUGUAACUAUGGGAUAUUGUAAUUUUUCUUUUGUGCUCGUUAAUGUUAUUCUAGUUUUGGAGUUGUAUCAGAAGAAGUGUUGUAAAUUUGAUUAGAUGAUAUGUGCAUACAUGUAAAUUUAGUAUUUGAUUUGAUAUAUGCAAUUAUAAGUUUGGUCAUAUAA